UUCAUCCGAGACUGUUAUCUAAAAGUGGAUCAGUAUCUCUUGCCACAGCUCGCCUAGUUUCAGUUUCCAAUUGAAACUUCGGUUUUUGUUAAUUUGCAGUGCAGCGGGAAUAGAGUUUAGCCUGCGUUUCGCAUAGAUCAUAUGUACAUGCACAGCUACAAAUAUCAUACACACAUACUUACGUUCUUACAUAUCUCCACACAUACAUAAAAAUACAAGUGUAGAAAAAUCAUACGAUUUUGUGUAUGGUUGAAUGCAUGUGUGUGGUGCAGUUGGUGAAGUUUUGAAGAGAACAGACGCGCUUCGCAUUGUGUUACCUUUCGAUUCAAAUAGCCGGUGUACAAUUUUGAAUUAUACAUUAAUAACUCUGUAUGCAGUGCUGGAAUGUUUUGUUAAACAAUAAAGAUUUAAUUUGUGUAUAUAAUUUUGUGUUAAGUCGCAUUGAAGAGUUUUGGUUGUCUCUCUAACACAUGUAUGCUACGUGCAUGUACAUACAUAUGUAUGUAUGUCUGUAUGCAAUUUUUGCUUCUGCUUUACUUCUUUGCACGUAAUCUGAGAGUAGAUCAGCCUCUUUCCGAAUUGUGUUUCAUUUUGACUUAAAUAGCCGGUGUUUAAUUGUACAUUUUUAAACGAUAUCAAUAAAUAAAAAGUAAUAAAUAUGUAUGUAUACAUAUGUGCCGUACGGGAAAGUUUUUAGAACAAUAACGAUAAAAUAAGCAUUUAUAUUUUGGGUGUUAAAUGCAGCAGUCGUAUCGAUGAGUUGUUGUUGAUUCGUAAUUAUGUUGGCCGAAUACAUGAGUUAUUUAGUUUGUGGCAAGUUGUGCAACAAGGAGACAUCAAUUUCUGUCCUUAUUUCGAAUACACAAUACAAAUCCAGCUGACAAGCCUGAUGCUGGCUCCUUCCUGAUGACGAUUCUUGAGAAGAAACUUGGAGCAUUUGUGAAGACAACAUGGGUACAGGGUAGCUGCUAGUCGGGCACCUUCGUCUGGACACCUCUUGUUAUGACCGCAUUUGGCACCGUCACGAUUCGUUUUCUGGAUAACUCCUUUGGCAACGCCUGUGUUCGCCCGGCCGAGACAACGUUUUUUUUUCUCUUUAUUUUGGCAUCGAUGGCAAUGUUGUCGCCAAUUCGAUGGCCUCCGGUGUUGGUGUAUGUCUCUUGUGUUCGUUGAAUUUGUUUUUAUUGUAAACUACACUUGGCUACAUGGAUGUGUUAAGAGUGUAAUCUUUUAUUAAACAGAAUGUACGUGACACGGCUUACAGGUGACAUACACGCACACACAGACACGCGCA